UUGUUGGGGCCCAGAGGAGGAAACGGGCUGGGAUGGUCGAGCAAUGUGCUUGCGUGGCCAGGAAGGUGGGGGCCUGGGAGCGCAGGACUGAACCAGACACGGGGGGAGAGCUUUUCUUCUCCGUGCCCACUAUCUGUGACAUGGGGCAGGUUGUGAACCCUCUGUGUAGCUUGAGUUCUUGACCUGUAAGUCACAAAAAGUCUCGUUUUGAGAUCUGAGGGCAUCGAAGGGAAUCAAGGUUGGUUUGUUUCCUGCCUCCCCUACUUAUUGCUGAGUGGCCUUGGUUCUGGAUUGCUUAGUCAGUAAAGGGGGGUUAGAAGCCUUGCCUGCGGGACGGUGGUCAGGAUGAAACCAGUUAGGCCUGGAGAGUGCUUUUCAGCUCCUGGUACACAGUCCCCAGUGACUAGUGAGUGACAGCUGUGGUCGUGGUCAGAAGCUGUGGAGUUUGACUCUUGUGUGACAUAGAGCAGGAAUACCUGUGUCGCCUUGUGCCUGGCCAGGAGAGUCUGCUGUGCUCCUGGGGAGGCCUGUACUCUUUCCCCAUCUCGUUCCUUGGGGCGACUAGGGGAGCUUCUCAGGUUGAUUUCUUCCCUUGCAAGGACAUAAGACUUUAGUUGCUGUUUGGAUCCUAAUCUGUGUCUUCUUUAGGCUCCAGAUUUCUUUUCCUUCCUUCUUCCUCCCUCCCUCCCUGCAUUGUGAUGCUAGAGAUUGAACCAAGUGCCUUGCACAUGCCAGGCAAGGGCUCUACCACUGAGCUACAUCCCCCUAGCCUACCUUGUCUUCCUUAUUUAUUUUCACAUGAUUCUAGACCUACAGAAAAUUUGCAAACCUGGCACAGUUUCCAUAUACCGUGUACCAUGUCGACAGCUUACAUAACCUCUGUACAGGUAUCAAAAACCCAGAGAUUAACCUUAAUCUGGUGCUGCUUGCUAAUAUAUAGACCUCAGCAGAAUUUUGCAGUUGGUCCGUGCCCGCCUGCUCUUUUCUUGACCUUGGGUCAAUUCAGGGGUUCACUGUGCAGCGAGGCUUUGUCUCCUCUGUCCCCAGCAGUCUGGGGCAUGAAGCAUCUCCAUUUCACUGUUUCUUAUGACCUUGGCCUUUUUUUUUUUUUUUUUUUUUUUUUUGGUACUAGGGAUCAAACUCACAACCUCACGCUUACCAGGCAGGUGCUUAUGCUGUUGAGCUAAAUCUCCAGCUAUGACCUUGGCCAUUUGGAAAGGGGCUGGUUGGUUGUUUUGAAGAACGGCCCUCAGUUUGGGUUUGAUUUUCUAUUUCCUUCACUCCUACAUUUGUUAACUGGAGUCCUGUUGUACAGUGCCGCCUCUUAGCCCCUGUUAUUUGUUUAUUCCAUUCUUUGUGUGGACUUUAUUCUCUAGGUCAGAGUUAAGUGAGCAAACAGACCCAGCAUGGUCCCAGGAGCUCCUUGAGGGGAUGGAACCGGACCCAAGGUUCUUGGCUCUCUUAUUUGCUCAUUGCAUUGGUCAGGGGCACCCCAGGAAGCAAGACCUGUAGGGUACACAUAUUCAGACACCAGUUUUAAGACAGGGGGUGGAAAGUGUGACAUGGACAGGGCAGGCCUGUGGCCCGCAGACAGGCAGGGUUGAUGUGGCCCAUUUAUUUUUAUUUUAUUGUUUUGGUACUGGGGAUUGAGCCUGGAGUCUUACACUGAGCUACACCCCCCACCUUUUUGUUUUGGGAUAGGUUCUCACUAAGUCACCAAACCACCCAGAUUGGGCUCAGACUUGCAGUCCUCCUGCCUCAGCUUCCCAGAAUGUUGGGAUUACAGGUAUGUGUGUAGCACCAUGCCCAGCUCAGGCUGUGGCCCAUUCUUGAGGCAGUGUUUCCCAUAGGAAAUCUGUUUUUGCUUCUGAGGCCUUCCAUAGAUGGGUGAGGCCAACUCACACCAUCAAGGGCCCUCUGCUUCCCGUAGGGUCACUGGCCACAGGUAUGGAAUACCUUCACAGCCAGGCUGGGUGUGUGCACACACGAUGAAACCCCUCGGUACUCCAGUGGGUCAGACUGACACACAUCUCAACUUUCACAACCAAUGGAGAUCGAAGUCUAGAGGCAGCACAAAAGCCAUUCCAUAUUCCAGCGUGGGAGGGGAGGACGGGAAGACAGGGUCACACCAGACCAAUUAGAGAUGGAGACCUGUAUAUCAUUGUGGUCUAGCCCUCUGUAGUUUUCAGAUUUCAAUCUUUGAUUACCGUCCCUUCUGAGUUUGCACAAAUCUUCUCUUUUAUCUUUACAGUGAGAGAAAUGUUAUUGUUUUUGAGUGAAGGUCAGAAGUAUCUUGCUUAUUUGCUUGGUUUGGUUUUUAAAAAUAAAUUCUCACUAUGUAGCCCAGGCUGGUCUCUAACUCAAGAUCUGCCUGCCUCAGCCUCCCAAGAGUUGGGUUUAUGGAUGUGAGCCACCGCUCUCAUCAUAAGAAUUUUAGAUGUUUGACUUUGAAACAAGGGCGGGAAUAGCUUCCAGAGAGAAGGACAUCUUCCCCCUGCAGCUUUCAUUCCGCUCAGAGACCCCAGAAUACCCACCUCCCUUCCAGGAGAGGCUGGUCUCUGGUUCCUCUGUUUUGGGCUGAUCAGCUUUGGAGAGGGAACAGAGAGCAGCGAACCUCAGAGCUCAGGCGGGGGUGCGGCAGGAGGGGGUGCGGCAGGAGGGCAGGUUUGGCCAGCGCAUGUGCGUGUGCGUGCGUGCGUGCCUACGUUGCCUCGCGUGCGCUUGUCCUAAGGUGGAGAUGGGAAGUUCUGAGAGAUGCAGAGAACUCUUUGGGCUUUAAAGCAGCAGUAGGGUUGCUCCCUGGGCAGAGUUUCCUGAUCUUCUCCAGGCUGCCAGGAGAGGCAGCAGGAAGUGGCGGGGACCUGGUUUCCCAGAACUUGGGAGGGAAAUCUGAAAGGGGCCUUCCUGCAAGGGGAAAACCUUAACUAUGCCCUGGGGACCCCCACUCUGCUAGGUGACCCUCCUAUCUCCCCAAGUGUCAAUUGCCCUCCUUAUUUUCAUCAGGAAACUGAGACGAUGGUGCCUGGAGCUUUAGCAGAUAUAUUACCGAUGGGUCCCAGACACAUUACCAAGGUUACUGGGUGAUCUUCUUGAUAAUGGGGGUGGGGCAGUCUAGAAGGGCACAGGUUGAAACUGCAGCUGGAGGUAACGGGGCCAGCUCGAGGAGGUGGCUUCUGGUGUGUGUGGGAGAGUAGAAGGGGGCCAGGAGCACCCCAGAUUCCUGAACUGAGGUCUCCAGAAUACAAAUGGCUGUUUGGCCAGGGGAGGACCCAGCCUUCCUAGGCUGUGCUGUGUGUCUGGAGUGAUCCGUGCCGGGGGAGCUGCAGACCCAAAAGGGGAUCCUGCAAUCGUAGCCUGCCUGGCACCAACCGUGGGCAAAGCAGCAAAGGCCACUCACUGUGGCUCUCAAAGGACAUGUCUGGACUCGUAUCCCUUUGCCAUGUCCUCUGCUGUAAGUCCAGGCUCUGUGGCAGUGACCAGUGUCUUGAGACCACCCUGGCCCUCAGUUUCCUUGUCUAUAAGAUGGGAUGAUGGACGAUGCUCUGCAUGCUGGGUGACUGUCAAGAGCUUGGUAAAGCUUGGUGUGGCUUGGUGGAGUGGCUGCCCUGUUCCAGGCUGGGUGAUGAUGGAGGCCCCUUUGCCCAAAGCUGCCUCUGCUGCCUACUCACUGGGGGAGGCCGUGGAGGACUGGUGGGGUCAGGGCCAGGUGAGGGCCAGGCCACAGUGGCACUAGAGACUGGGCGGUGUCUGCAGUGGCCUCUCACACUCCGCUGCCCUCCUCUCUCCUCGCACACGUGUGAGGAUGAUGAUAAAACACACUGCCCGCACCACUCCCGAUAGGGUCUGACCUCAGCGACGAGGCAUCUCUCCUCACCCCCACCCCCAGCCGAGGCUGCAUUCCUAGGGAGGACACAGAGGAGGCUGAGGCUGGCUGGCCCCUUGCAUCCUGCACCCUCAAAGUAUCCAACUGGGUCCUCUGUCUGGCUUGCUGCUUCCUAACAGCAGGGCCAGGAGCCCAGGUGUGCAUCUGGGUAGUGUAGCUCAUGGUAUUAUUGUAUCACAAUAAUAUCAACGCUGAGGCUACUGGUCAUUCAUUAAGCAAUUAGUGCUCCCCUAAAUCCCCAGUGCUAGGUUCUUUCCAGCCUGGUACAGCCUUGGACAUGGGACAUGACUGGGGUCCUGAGUGUCCCUGGGACACCUCUGCCAUUGGGAAGGAUGGACAUAUCUCUGGAGAGCAGGGAGCUCUGUGUGUUCCUCAUUCCAUCCCAGCUUCUAGAGGUAUAAAGCUGGGAAGUUGGCCCAGCAGGUAGUCCUGCCUAGGACAUUACAGAGCCCUCAGUCUGCAGGCCUGUUUUAGGGUCUGAAUGAACACUAAAUGGACCUUUCUAGAAAUGUUUCCUCUAUGAGCCUCACAUUUUGAGAAAUUGUGCUAAUUUCUCCAUUUAUGUUAGUCAGACUCAUUUAGACUAGAGGCAUGGGAUAACCUACACUUGCAGGUGGAGUUAGCUAAUUCCAGCCCAGGGCAAAGCAGUGUGCCAGGAAAUGUCAUCUGAGCCACACAGCCUUCCCUUUCUAGCUUCCAGUGGCCCUCCUGAUCUAACCUCUACAAAGUUUGCAUCACCUUUCCCUGCCAGCCAUGUCCUGUAUAAUAAUGGUCCUACCGGACCACUCCCUGUCUGCCCUCCAGGUCCCAUAUGCAUGGAUCUGAGAGGGAUACAGGUUCAAAUCCUGGCCCUUCCACCUGCUGGCAAGGGGCUUGGAACCUUGCAUCACAGCCGUUAAGCAGACCUGCCUGUCCUCCAUGCCUCUGUGCUCAGACUGUUCCAGUGAGACAGGCUGGAGGGAGCCCAGUGCUGUGUGGUAGGUGUGGUGAGUGGGGGGUUGGGACAUUGAUGCCACACACACAGCUUGACCUGGAGAAAGUCUCUGAUCCUCUCUCAGCCACACUUUCCCAGCUGUGAAGUGAACCUGAUAAGGUCUCACUGGGAGAGCUCUGUGGAGAUUGGAGAAAAGGGGAGUGGUGUUGGGCCAGAGCCGCCCUGGAUGACUCUGUUCACUGCUGUCACUGUCAGUGGCAGUGCAGCCCAGGUCUCGCCCUGUACCUGUGCACUGUGGGUGCAGACAGGUGGCUUGGGCAGAAGGUACUUGAUGACCCUCUGGGACCAUGUGUUGGCCUCCCGCUGGAGUGUGAGGAGAGGGCACUGCUCUCUGAACUGCUGUGGGAUAGGUCUCUGUACCACUGCUGCCAUCGGACACUAUCACUCACUUCAUUUUGUAAAAAAUGAUUUGUUCUUUAACCUUUUACUUAAUUCUCAGUGAUGAGUUUAUGGACUUAAUCCGUGACGAUUCUCUCUCUCUCUCUCUCUCCCCCAUCAUGGGCAUUGAACCCAAGGCCUUUGCACUGAGCUGCUCCCCAGCCCGUUUAUUUUGCAUUUUGAGGCAGUGCUUCUCUAAGUUGCCUAAACUGGGCUUGAAUUUACAAUCCUCCUGUCUCAGCCUCCAGGAGUGCUGGGGAUUACAGGUGUGUGCCACCAUGCCCGGCCAUGUAUUUUUUCCUAAAUACAAUAAUCUUGAAAUUAUUGAGCCAUUUUUCCAACUAAAGUCAUUUUGCAUGUCACACUUUAGGUGACCCAGGAUCCAGUGAAUAAAACUAAAAUAAAAUUCUCUUUAUUUUAGUUUCGUGUGUGCCAAUUCUUUUUUUUGUGUGUGUGUGGGAGAUUUAAAGCAUACAGAAGUAGCAAUAGUAGAAUGAACUCCUCUGCAUCCAUCUCCUGCUUCAAUAGCCAUUGACUUUGCCGUUUCUGUUGUAUAUCCCUCUCCCACUCCAGCCUUCUCCCCUUUGCUUUCUACUGGAGUGUUUUAAAGGCAAAUCCCAGACAUUGUGUCAUUUCACUUAAAUACUUUAGUAUGUUUCAUUAACAGAUAAGGACUUUUAACACUGCUCUGACUACCACUGUUAACACAAUUAACAUAAUUAAUAAUAACCCUUGAAAUCAGCUACUACUGUCUGUUCAGUUUUCGCUGAUUAUCUUAAAACCUCUUGUUUCGCCUGGUUCCUUCGACUUGGCAAUGGACUUGGAAACCACAGUUUAGCCUCUGUCUGUAGAGAUAUUAAUCGUUUAUUGACAUAGGUCAUUGCCUCUGUCUGUUCACCAAUCAACGGAUGAUAUGUGAUCACUCCAGUGUACGCAUACUGGCUACAUCCUGUGGCCCUCUGGGCGCUGGCCUUGGCUGUGUUUGCCCAGAGACAGUGGGAGAAGAGCAGCACCCUUGGGUGGCACAGCAGAAAGGCAGGCUCCUAUGGGUUGGCUCCCUGUGUGCCCCAGCCCAGGAGGAUGAUGGCCCUUACUUGCUUAGCUCCCACCAAUAGGCAGCACCAGGGGGCUGGCGGUGAGCGGGUCGCUCAGUGCUGGAAGCCCCGCUGCCUUCCAGGGUGGGGUGAACUCAUGGGAACACACCCUCCCUUCAGCUGCAUCACCGUGGUGUCCCUGUGCCCUGUGCCCUCACUGUCAUUGCCAGCCAAGGUCCUGGCUGCCACAGCUCUCAGGCUCGCAGGCUUCUUAGAUCUACCCUAUCCCGUGACUCCUUGAGGCAAGGAGCGUCACCCACCACAGCCUGCUUUCUUCCUCUUCUUCCUCUGCUUGCAACAUCUCUGCUCUUAGUUCUGCUGGCUGGUUUGGUUUUGUCUUGGGAAACUGAGGCUACGCGGGAUACGCAGGUCCUAUCCCCGGAUCACCUUUGGGGACGACAUCAUCCUCUUGGGUCAGAAUGGUCUCAUUGGAGAAUUGCUCGGAACAGCUGUAGACCUCACAGAUCCAUUUGUUCAGAACAUUGGAGGUUGUGGGCCCCUUCCUGGUCCUUAAUGUCUUUGCUGUUUCUCUUUCGUGUCUGACAUCUCUCUGCCCCUGUUCCUCCUUCCCUGGUUGUGUGUCCCUCAGGAAAGUAUGUGUUCAUGUCCUCUGGGUCCUGCCUUGUUUCCCAGGUCUCAGCCUUUUGUUUGGGCCUCCACCCUAACUUGCAAAGACCCCCCCUUUUUUUUAAGUAUCAGGAAUCGAACUCACGACCUCGCACUUGUCAUACUACGGACACUUAUGCUGCUGAACUAAAGCUGCUGAACUAAAUCUCUGGCUGACCCUCCUUUUUUGAUUGUUAUGGCUUGUGUUUAAAUGUCUCCCCAAAGGCUCUUGGGGUCAUAGGCAGAUUCUCUGAGAUGGCUGAAUCUGGAGUAUGCGAUACGGGAUCAAGGGUGUGUGAACACUGAUUGGUUUGGGCAUAAUUCCGGGUGUGGAUAAUGGGAAGGCCCACUGUGGGUAUGACAGCUACCCACUCUAAGGAACAGAAAGAGGGCUGCUGUCAUUGCUUGCUGCUUCGCUGCCUCACUGCCUGCCACAAACUUCUUCCUCUGCAAUGCCUCUCUGCCAUGCCUUGGAGCCAGUCAGUGAUGAACUGAAACCUCUGCAAACGUGAGCCAAAUAAACCUUUCCUCCUUUAACUUUGAGCGUCAGUUAUUUUAUCUCAGCAACGAGAAAAGUAAUUAAGACAGAUCCAGUGGAUGGAGGAGCCCCUUUCACUAUCUUCAUGUCUCUGUUCCUAUGGAAUAUUCUGGCACUUGAAGUUGGGGGCCUGGUGUCACCUGACUCCUGUUCUAAGGACCUUCUGCCUACCUUGAAGUAGCAGCAGAGACCUGAGAACGAGCCCCAGAUGCCUGACACUUUGUGGGGUAUUGCAUUUGUGUGCUCAGAAUGCCCCAUUCUUGAGCCUGUAAUGCACACAAGUAUUUCUCUAAGAAAGGUGCUGCCUCUGAUCCACCCGGGGGCACUGGAAACAUGUCGUUCCAAGAGUCGGCCAGGAGGAGGAUGAUCUGAGGUCAUGGAAAGAACUCUGGCUUAGGGGCUGGAAUUCUGGGUCUCUUUCUUCCUGGCCAUGCCAGUUCAGAGCCGCAGGGCCCUCACCUGUUCAGUGACCACAGUGCCAGUGAUGUCAUUGGGGUGUGGUGAGGCUGCCUGCAGCCCCCUGGCAGGACAGGCUCCUGUUGUAUCCCUGUGGUGCUAGGAUCUGCCCAGGCAAUGAGAACUUAGUACUUGAGCCCACAUACCAUAUAAGGGGCCCAGUUUAGAGGGUUGGGUAGAUGUGGGCUAGGGGGACAAUGAUUUAUAAUGGCCUGCUUGUCAGAACGCUCACAGACCUUCUCUUGCUUACCCUGUGUGGAAACCAAGGCCCACAGAGGGCCUGGGGGUCCUGGAGAAGGAGAAGCAGAGCGUAAGGGAGGGUGGCAGGCUCCUGGCCAAGGUGUCUGUGUCAGCGGCGCCGACUUCCGUGGCUCCCCCAGGACGGCGCUGCGGGUGGGUGGAAUCCGCAGGGCUGAGACACCGAGGCGGAACGUGCCGAGGAUGCUUGGGGCUGCUUAUCUGAGGCCAGGAAUGUGCUGUGGUAUUAUUAGCCGGCAGCCUUCUCGCCUUUGGAGUACGGACCGGGGUGGGGGGGGGGGCACGUUGGACACCUGUCUAGCUCUGCCUGCCCAGACAGCCUGCGCCCAGCCAACCACCCUCAGACGCAGUUUACAUGUGUGCACGCGCAUGUGUGGGUGUGGAAGCGUGUGCCUGCGUGUGUCUGUGUCCUUGUAUUCGUGUAACUGUGGGCAUAUGUCUGUGUGGGGGCUUCUGUGCUUGGGAAUGUGUGUUCAACUGUGCACGUACCAUGCCCUGCCUGUGCAGAUACACAUGUGUGGAUAAGGUAGACUGAGUGUUCCUUGAGGAUGGAGCCCACAGAGCCUGUACCGGAUGAAUGGGUGAAGCAGUGCAUGCGUGAGAGCCGCUGGCAGAGGAUCGGAACCAGAGUGUGCAGGGUCCAGAAACAGAAAGAGCUGGGCAUCCACCCUGUGAAGCCGAUCCUCUGAGACGGUGUGCAUGUGUGCGAUCUUCAAUAAAGCUUUGAAGGAA